UACGUAGGGGGCGAGCGUUGUCCGGAUUUAUUGGGCGUAAAGAGCUCGUAGGCGGCUUAGCAAGUCGGGUGUGAAAACUCCAGCUCAACCUGGAGACGCCACUCGAGACUGCUAUGGCUAGAGUCCGGUAGGGACCACGGAAGUCCUGGUGUAGCGGUGAAAUGCGCAGAUAUCAGGAGGAACACCGGUGGCGAAGGCGGUGGUCUGGGCCGGCACUGACGCUGAGGAGCGAAAGCGUGGGGAGCAAACAG
rnacentral:rRNA from 1 species